rnacentral:rRNA from 1 species
CCAGACUCCUACGGGAGGCAGCAGUAGGGAAUCUUCGGCAAUGGACGGAAGUCUGACCGAGCAACGCCGCGUGAGUGAAGAAGGUUUUCGGAUCGUAAGGCUCUGUUGUAAGAGAAGAACGAGUGUGAGAGUGGAAAGUUCACACUGUGACGGUAUCUUACCAGAAAGGGACGGCUAACUACGUGCCAGCAGCCGCGGUAAUACGUAGGUCCCGAGCGUUGUCCGGAUUUAUUGGGCGUAAAGCGAGCGCAGGCGGUUAGAUAAGUCUGAAGUUAAAGGCUGUGGCUCAACCAUAGUACGCUUUGGAAACUGUUUAACUUGAGUGCAAGAGGGGAGAGUGGAAUUCCAUGUGUAGCGGUGAAAUGCGUAGAUAUAUGGAGGAACACCGGUGGCGAAAGCGGCUCUCUGGCUUGUAACUGACGCUGAGGCUCGAAAGCGUGGGGAGCAAACAGGAUUAGAUACCCUGGUAGUCCACGCCGUAAACGAUGAGUGCUAGGUGUUAGACCCUUUCCGGGGUUUAGUGCCGCAGCUAACGCAUUAAGCACUCCGCCUGGGGAGUACGACCGCAAGGUUGAAACUCAAAGGAAUUGACGGGGGCCCGCACAAG